rnacentral:lncRNA from 1 species
AAAGUUCCUUAUGGAGGUGAUAUAACUGUUUUUCCUUUACUUGUAAAUAGGCCGUGUUAGGAAUCUGCACACUAAAAGGGCUAGUGAUUUACUAAAGUGCCUUGCAACCUGUACCUGGAUGGAUUUGUAUAGAAUAUGGGUCAAUAACUCUUAAGCGAUUAUCUUAUUGUUGGAUUAAGAUUGAUGUGCUUAUGCAGGCCCUAUGGUUUUUAAGUGCAUGAAUGGUAGAAGUCUUGUAAGACUGACUAUUGAUGAUGGAUGUUGUCGCGUUGUUCUAAUCCUGUGAGCCUUGCGGGUAUCAACCUAGAGUUUU